rnacentral:rRNA from 1 species
UACAGAGGGUGCAAGCGUUAAUCGGAAUUACUGGGCGUAAAGCGUGCGUAGGCGGCUAAUUAAGUCAGAUGUGAAAGCCCCGGGCUCAACCUGGGAAUUGCAUCUGAAACUGGUUAUCUAGAGUAUGGUAGAGGAUAGUGGAAUUUCAGGUGUAGCGGUGAAAUGCGUAGAUAUCUGAAGGAACACCAGUGGCGAAGGCGACUAUCUGGGCCAAUACUGACGCUGAGGUACGAAAGCAUGGGUAGCAAACAGG